UUUUGCCACGGUACCAGCCUAAACAUGCCUGGUCCUGUUGGAUUUUGGAAGCUAAAUAGGGUCAAGCCUGGCUACCAUUUGGAAGGGAGACCACCAGGAGUCUCGAAAC
rnacentral:rRNA from 1 species